CAGAGAAUAGUCUAAUAAAAAUUUUAAUUUUGGAUAUUAAAGAUGGAAAAUCUUUCCUUCUCUGA
rnacentral:tRNA from 1 species